AGCCAUGCAUGUCUAAGUACAGCCYRAGGCGAAACCGCGAAUGGCUCAUUAAAUCAGUUAUGGUUCCUUGGAUCGUCCUUACUACUUGGAUAACUGUGGUAAUUCUAGAGCUAAUACAUGCAGCARAGCUCCGACCCUCGGAACGAGCGCUUUUAUUAGACCAAAACCGAUCGGAYUYUUUCUUGUGGUGACUCUGAAUAACUUUGGGCUGAUCGCACGGGCYYGUCCCGGCGACGUAUCUUUCAAGUGUCUGCCUUAUCAACUUUCGAUGGUAGGUUACGCGCCUACCAUGGUCGUUACGGGUGACGGGGAAUCAGGGUUCGAUUCCGGAGAGGGAGCCUAGAAACGGCUACCACAUCCAAGGAAGGCAGCAGGCGCGCAAAUUACCCACUCCCAGCUCGGGGAGGUAGUGACGAAAAAUAACAAUACGGGACUCUUAAACCCCGUAAUUGAAUGAGUACACUCUAAAACCUUUAACGAGGAUCCAUUCGAGGGCAAGUCUGGUGCCAGCAGCCGCGGUAACCCCAGCUCGAAUAGCGUAUAUUAAAGUUGUUGCGGUUAAAAAGCUCGUAGUUGGAUCUCAGUUCCAGACGGGYGGUCCGCCUACCGGUGGUCACUGYCYGUUCUGAACAGCCRGCCGGUUUCYCUYGAUGAUCUUACCGGUUGUCUUGGGUGACCGCAAGUUUACUUUGAAAAAAUUAGAGUGCUCAAAGCAGGCGYGAAGCCYGAAUAAUGGUGCAUGGAAUAAUGGAAUAGGACCUCGGUUCUAUUUUGUUGGUUUUCUGAACRCGAGGUAAUGAUURAAGGGACAGACGGGGGCAUUCGUAUUGCGCGUAGAGGUGAAAUUCUUGGACCGUCGCAAGACGAACUACUGCGAAAGCAUUUGCCAAGAAUGUUUCCRUUAAUCAAGAACGAAAGUUAGAGGUCGAAGGCGAUYAGAUACCGCCCUAGUUCUAACCAUAAACGAUGCCAGCUAGCGAUCCGGYYGUUUUCYUAAAYGAGGCCGGGCAGCUUCCGGGAAACCAAAGCCUUUGGGUUCCGGGGGGAGUAUGGUUGCAAAGCUGAAACUUAAAGGAAUAGACGGAAGGGCACCACCAGGAAUGGAGCCUGCGGCUUAAUUUGACUCAACACGGGAAAACUCACCCGGCCCGGACACAGGAAGGAUUGACAGAUUGAGCUCUYUUUCUUGAUUCUGUGGGUGGUGGUGCAUGGCCGCUCUUAGUUCGUGAGCGAUUUGUCUGGUUAAUUCCGAU
rnacentral:rRNA from 1 species